AUGAUAUCUAGCGAGGGAAAGUACCACCGUAGAGGUCCUUACUUUGGUGGUACUAAUUUUGCUAGUUCGAAGCAUAAGAUGAAAAUGCAUAUUCUUGGAUAUAACCCCGCCGUUUGGACUAUUGUGUGUAUUGGCUUGCAAGGUGAAUUCUUUGAUGGGAUAGAACCGAACCAUGAAGCUACCGCGGGAGAGUUGAAGAUGCUGCAAUACAAUGCUCAAGCUUGUGAUAUCCUCUUCAACAGAUUGUGCCCCAAAGAAUUCAACAAAAUCCGCCGUCUUGAGAAUGCAAAGGAAAUUUGGGAUACUUUGAUUGACAUGCACGAAGGUACCGACUCCGUCAAGGAAUCCAAAUUGGAUGUGCUUCAAAGUCAACUUGACAAGUUCAAAAUGAAGGAUGGUGAAGGCGUCGCCGAGAUGUACUCUAGCUUGCUCUCAACACAAAUGAGAUUGCCGACUUAG
rnacentral:rRNA from 1 species